rnacentral:rRNA from 1 species
CCUACGGGGAGCUGCAGUCGAGAAUCAUUCACAAUGGGGGAAACCCUGAUGGUGCGACGCCGCGUGGGGGAAUGAAGGUCUUCGGAUUGUAAACCUCUUUUGUCGGGGAGCAAAGCGAACCACGUGUGGUUCAUUGAGAGUACCCGAAGAAAAAGCAUCGGCUAACUCCGUGCCAGCAGCCGCGGUAAUACGGAGGAUGCGAGCGUUAUCCGGAUUUAUUGGGUUUAAAGGGUGCGCAGGCGGAGGUGCAAGUCAGCGGUCAAAUUGCGGGGCUCAACCCCGUACUGCCGUUGAAACUGCAUCCCUUGAGUGCGCGAGAAGUAUGCGGAAUGCGUGGUGUAGCGGUGAAAUGCAUAGAUAUCACGCAGAACCCCGAUUGCGAAGGCAGCAUGCCGGCUUCCGACUGACGCUGAAGCACGAAAGCGUGGGGAUCGAACAGGAUUAGAUACCCGAGUAGUC